CGGAGGGUGCAAGCGUUAUCCGGAUUCACUGGGUUUAAAGGGUGUGUAGGCGGGCUGUUAAGUCAGUGGUGAAAUCUCCGGGCUCAACCCGGAAACUGCCAUUGAUACUAUCAGUCUUGAAUUUUGUUGAGGUAGGCGGAAUAUAUCAUGUAGCGGUGAAAUGCUUAGAUAUGAUAUAGAACACCGAUUGCGAAGGCAGCUUACUAAGCAAAUAUUGACGCUGAGGCACGAAAGCGUGGGGAUCAAACAGGAUUAGAUACCCUGGUAGUCCACGCCCUAAACGAUGAUUACUCGACAUACGCGAUACACAGUGUGUGUCUGAGCGAAAGCAUUAAGUAAUCCACCUGGGAAGUACGUCCGCAAGGAUG
rnacentral:rRNA from 1 species